rnacentral:rRNA from 1 species
AUUGAACGCUGGCGGCAGGCCUAACACAUGCAAGUCGAACGCGUGGCGGACGGGUGAGUAAUGUAUGGGAAACUUCCCGAUGGAGGGGGAUAAGUACUGGGAACGGUAGCUAAUAACGCAUACCAUCGAACGUGCCCAGCUGGGAUGUGCUAGUAGGUGGGGUAACGGCUCACCUAGGCGACGAUCCCUAGCUGGUCGGAGAGGAUGAACAGCAACACUGGAACUGAGACACGGGCCAGACUCCUACGGGAGGCAGCAGUGGGGAAUAUGGCACAAUGGGCGAAAGGCUGAUGCAGCCAUGCCGCGUGUAUGAAGAGGGCCUUCGGGUUGUAAAGUACGUUCAGCGAGGAGGCGGUACUCGCAGAAGAAGCACCGGCUAACUCCGUGCCAGCAGCCGCGGUAAUUC